UUGAUUGGGGGAAGGCCUUUAGUUUGAUUUAACACAUUUAGGCUACAUGUAAUCAGAAUACAUGUGAAUGCAUACAGAACAAAAGCUUUUGGAUUGAUUAUGCAUACAGAACAAAAGCUUUUGGAUUGAUUUGUACAACUCUAGAAGAUGUCUGAGCAUGGUGAGUUCGUGGGCUUGGGUUUGGUGCUACACCAUCUCGAGUCAAUGCUACUAUUCAAGGGAGUGCAAAGGUUAAAGAACUUGAAGCUACUGUAUUAAGUCUCCAAGUACAAAAGUUCAUUGUGUGCCUCUUGGACGAGAUUGUUGGAAGGUUUGGGUUGAUGUGGUGUUUGAUGAGUAUCAGAAUAUGGAAGUGUAUAGAGCAACCAUGGAUGCCAAACAACUUGGUGAAGUUGUAGGAAGCACUCUUGCAUGGCCCAAAAGCUCCAUUAAAAUGCUCCCUUAGUAGUUGAAGUAGCAGGUACAUUUUGCUUUACUAGAGAAUUUAUGUAGGUCAGGAAGUACCAUGCAUGUUUUGUGAAUGCUGAUGAACAAAGAAUCCAGUACUUUGUCAUGCUUGUUUUGUAAAGCACAUAUGUAUAAGAGAAUGUGGCACUCCUAAUGAAAUGUAUAUUUUUCAUA